UGUUAAAGGUGGAACAUUCUGAUGGCAGU
rnacentral:piRNA from 2 species